GGGAUAUUGGCUCAGUUGGUAGAGCGUUGGUCUCAUAUGAAAUGAUCUGGUGAAAUAUCAGGGCAAUCCAAAGGUCGUGAGUUCGAGCCUCACAUGUCCCA